AGCGUAGAUCGGCAGAAUAAGGGGGCUUCGGUGGCAAGUAAACUUAAAUCGCAGCAACGGAAGCAGGGAAAUGACUCCUCAUCCACCCAAAACAAGCGUUCAAAUCAGAACACGGUGUCGACAAAACAAAAUAAGCGUAAAUCUAAGCAGCGAGAAGUCCCAGUCAUGAUUCAUUCAAGCCAAGUAUCUGUGAAUGAAGUGACUCAGAGUUCACCGAAUAAUGCAGGUCGCGGUGAUGUGGAUAACAACAGAGUUACUUUGUUGCCCCAGCAUCCACAGGAAAUACCUUUGACCCAAGAAUCUGUGAAUCAGGUAAUUAGGAUGGUUGUAUAAUUUAUUUAUUUUCCCUUCAGUGGUGUUUACUCAAGUUUCUCAUUAAAUUGUUUUCUCGUGGACAUAAUCUGGGUAGGUACAGGUUUAUAACAUGGAGCCUAUUGUACAACAAGUCCACUAUCCUGUUGUUCGUGCUUCAGCUGGACUUCCAUUUUUGCAACCUACUUAUGCCGUGAAUAUGACUAAUGGAGUUCAGGUGUUUCCACAGUUUAUACAGCACCAAAACGUCCAGGUUCCUUACCAAGGAGUUCAGAUGCAAACUCUAUUUCAAGCUGGACCUUCUGGCUUACUCCCGACAUUUUCAUCGACGUUGGCGGCAGUCGAUAGG